CUUCCAACUGUCUGGUACAUCUGCACCAUGGCAGCCAGUCUCUGCCCUCCCUCACCCCCAGCAGCUGGUUUGUUCCUGGCAGCGUGGUAGCUGUCUAGCACCGAGGUGAAAUAUACUUCACCACAGAUGCCCCUGACCAUAGGGAAAUGAGGACGACUGGAGUACGGCAGCCCCCGUCUGUGCGGGCACCUUCCCAGACUGCGGCGGAGGCCCGAAGCCGCGGAUGGCACAGAACGCCGUCUGUAUCGUUCUCUCCUGUACCUGCACACCUCUUCGCUUCAAGGAAGCACUUUAUGGCUUUUCCUCGGCAUAUCCCAAUGCCAGUUCACUCCCCUUGUGCUGUGGGGCCACUGUGAAAACUAGGUGAACACGGGCACUGAGAAACUACAACACUCCAUCUGGGGAUGACAAAACCCAUUCCUUCAACAGUAGUCCUUUUGGGAACCAAUACCGGCUAGGUGCCAUGAGUGUGCUGCAGAGAGUGC